UGCAUGGUGGCGCAGUUGGUAGCACUGUUGCCUUGCAGCCUGGGUUCGACUCCCGGCCACAGGUCUUUUUGCAU